rnacentral:rRNA from 1 species
AUUGAACGCUGGCGGCAGGCCUAACACAUGCAAGUCGAGCGAGCGGCGGACGGGUGAGUAAUGUAUGUGGCUUGCCCGAUAGAGGGGGAUAACUACUGGAAACGGUGGCUAAUACCGCAUACUAUCGGAUAACCCCUAUGGGCUUAGCUUGUGGGUGGGGUAAAGGCUCACCUAGGCGACGACCUCUAGCUGGUCUGAGAGGAUGAUCAGCCACACGGGAACUGAGACACGGCCCAGACUCCAACGGGGGCAGCAGUGGGGAAUAUUGGACAAGUGGCGAAAGCCUGAUGCAGCCAUGCCGGGUGGAUGAAGAAGGUCUUAGGGUUGUAAAGUACUUUCGGCGGGGAGGCGUUACCAGCAGAAGAAGCACCGGCUAACUCCGUGCCAGCCGCCGCGGUAAUAC